rnacentral:rRNA from 1 species
GACGAACGCUGGCGGCGUGCCUAAUACAUGCAAGUCGAACGAGAGCACCCGGUGCUUGCCCUGGUCAAUCUAGUGGCGAACGGGUGAGUAACACGUGGGUAACCUGCCCAUCAGAGGGGGAUAACAUCCGGAAACGGAUGCUAAAACCGCAUAGGUCUUCGAACCGCAUGGUUUGAAGAGGAAAAGAGGCGCAAGCUUCUGCUGAUGGAUGGACCCGCGGUGCAUUAGCUAGUUGGUGAGGUAACGGCUCACCAAGGCCGUGAUGCAUAGCCGACCUGAGAGGGUGAUCGGCCACAUUGGGACUGAGACACGGCCCAAACUCCUACGGGAGGCAGCAGUAGGGAAUCUUCCGCAAUGGACGCAAGUCUGACGGAGCAACGCCGCGUGAGUGAAGAAGGUUUUCGGAUCGUAAAACUCUGUUGUUAGAGAAGAACAAGUGCUAGAGUAACUGUUAGCGCCUUGACGGUAGCUAACCAGAAAGCCACGGCUAACUACGUG